UAGUCCACGCCGUAAACGAUGUCAACUAGCCGUUGGGAGCAAUUAAGCUCUUAGUGGCGCAGCUAACGCGAUAAGUUGACCGCCUGGGGAGUACGCCGGCAACGGUAAAACUCAAAUGAAUUGACGGGGGCCCGCACAAGCGGUGGAGCAUGUGGUUUAAUUCGACGCAACGCGCAGAACCUUACCAGCUUUUGACAUCCUGGUCGCGGAUUUGGGAGACCAUUUCCUUCAGUUCGGCUGGACCAGUGACAGGUGCUGCAUGGCUGUCGUCAGCUCGUGUCGUGAGAUGUUGGGUUAAGUCCCGCAACGAGCGCAACCCUCAUCCUUAGUUGCCAGCAUUUAGUUGGGCACUCUAAGGAAACUGCCGGUGAUAAGCCGGAGGAAGGUGGGGAUGACGUCAAGUCCUCAUGGGCCCUUACGGGGUAGGGGCUACACACGUGCUACAAUGGUCGGUACAGAGGGUUGCCAAGCCGCGAGGUGGAGCUAAUCUCAGAAAGCCGAUCGUAGUCCGGAUU
rnacentral:rRNA from 1 species